UCAUGUUCCUCACGUUCCUACGCUUUACAUCACCUCCAUCUUCAAAACAUCAUCAGGCUCUCUCUACCAUCUCGACGUAUGAACAUAACCUGCUUUUCUCAUAAGCAGGUCAUUACGGCACAACCUAGCUUGUUGAAGAAUCUAAGUUUCACUCAUCGAAAUGGUUCAGACGAUUCCACUAAGCCAAAACAGGACUUCAAUAUAUCAAAUUGCUUGAUGCCAAAAGGUAUUGAGCAAAGUAGGAAUGGGCAAAGAAGACCGCUACUUUUGGAAGUAGAUAGGCAAGCCGUUCCUAGCCAUAUACAUGCUCAUUAAGGUUGGGUCGCUCGACAUUGAAACAUCGCCCCUUAGGGGGUGGAUGCUGAAGCCACGGCCGAAGGAAGAAAGCGAGCUAGCUCACUUGCACGAGCGGCAGCAAUUUCCGCGCAUGCGCAAUAAAGCAAUGGAAGAUGAUCAGCACGAUCGGUGGGCCCAAUGGAUU